rnacentral:rRNA from 1 species
UACGUAGGGAGCAAGCGUUGUCCGGAAUCAUUGGGCGUAAAGCGCGCGUAGGUGGCCUCAUAAGUCCGCUGUGAAAGUCAAAGGCUCAACCUUUGAAAGCCGGUGGAUACUGUGAGGCUAGAGUACGGAAGAGGCGAGUGGAAUUCCUGGUGUAGCGGUGGAAUGCGCAGAUAUCUGGAGGAACACCGGUGGCGAAGGCGGCAUCCUGGACCGGCAUUGACGCUGAGGCGCGAAAGCCAGGGGAGCAAACGGG